GUGCAUUUCCACCAGGUGUUUGCUAAUUGCUGCUGACUAGUCUGAAGGAGCUGAGUGAGGGCGUCACGAGGGACGACCUCUCUGUGAAGCGGAGUAUUGGAAACAGCAGCUCCGAGGAGGAGCUGAGUGUCCCUCACUUCUCGCCCACUGGAUCCCGACUGCAAGGACAAUCUGGUUUAGACAAUGGAUGACGGUGUGACUGGAAUUCUAUCAACACAUUUUGGGAAUUCUUUUUUCCCCAUCCCUAAAACUCACCCGAAACCAGAUGCAGGUAGACAUUUCAGCCAAUCCGCAACAUCCAGCCCAGUUCCAAACACUCUGGGCAAUCGGAAACGAAAAAGAAGCCACAGUCUUCAGGGCAGCUCAGGCUACCUUGGGAACAGAGUGACGUCCACAUCAACACGGCUCCAGUCAAGGACAGAAAGACACUCUUUCGGAGACAAAUAAAGCAUUUCUCUAUCAACUGAAUGAGAAAACAAGCGAAUACUAAAACUCCUGCCGUACACUAACAAGAAGCAUUGUGAUCAGUUCAGAUGACAAUCAGGAGCGAGACGAUCCACACAGACAACAGUGACGACUGCUGACAUGCUAAGUGAUUCUUUUCACCCGCAAGUAAAUGCAGACUCUCCUCACAGGCUGUUUCCACGGGUCCAACGCUCACAGAUGAAUACAGUUUUGUGCAGCAGCUCAGCACAAGGUCGCCGUGUUGUCAAGCUCAACCUGAGCGGGUUUUUUUCAAUUAUUUUUUUUUAUUAAAGCAUCGAGCCUGAGAUACUCUGCGCUUAACACGACGGAAAUCAUUUCUGUCAUUACGCGUUUGUUAUUUCCAGCAUCUCCGGAGAUAAAGAACGUGACCAUUUACCUGGACGUGAUUCAGUUGGGUUUGGCUGUGAGAAAGGAAAUGCUUACUUUGGUCUUUAACUAGACGGCAGAGAUGCCUUCGUGUAUCUGUAUUUGAUUAUUUAUGGAUACGGUGAUGAAAUGAUGAGACUUUUCCUGAAUUGGCAGAAACUGUUGCAUUAAUCUUUUUCUAAACUGUCUUCUAUAUUUGUGAAGAGAGGUGACAUACAGACAAUUUUCUUUUCAGGCUCACUGUUUGAGAAGAACCAACAUGUUUCCACAAUUAUCUAUGGCUGCUGCUGCUGAUAUUUUUCUUUCUGAGAUGGACAUCAUAAUCCAACAAUCAACGCACAGCAGUUCCCUGGUGCUGGACAAAACAUCCAUGUUGCUGUUCUUCAAAAGAAAGAAGUUUAGAAGAGAGCAACCGCCGAGUGAAAACAAGAGAGAGGAGAGGAGAGGGGGAGGAGAGAGGGAGUGAUAGAAGGAGGGAGAGGGAGGACGAGGACGAGAAAGACAAGAAGAGAGGCACAGAGAGACGGACAGAUGGAGGAGAAGCAUGCAGCAGCAGCGAGGAAGAGGAGGAGGAAGAGCAGGAGGAGGAGGAGGAGAAACAAAGCGUGUUGACGAGGAAGUGUGCGUGCCAUGCGGGGCCAUGUGCUCAGGUAGCUCCCGUCCAGAUCAGCCGCACGCACCGCCUCACCGCCCGCUCCCCGCAGCGCCGCCGUGUUCCUCUGUCACGCAGGGAAUCCGUCAAAAACCCAAAAGGGAGGCCACUUCUGCAACGACUUUUCCGAAAAUAUAACCGAACAUCCAUGUGACCCGCAGCAGUUUCCAAGAAAGAUGGCGUCCGCAGAAGUGUGCCGACUCCCGUCUGUUGCUUCUCGGCUCUCUGGUGACUGUCAGCUGCUCAGUAGGCAGUGUAGAUCCUGUGUAGCAAUCAGCAGCUACAUCUGGCUACUGGGUCUCUGACAGCUCCGCCCGCUUCCCGGUCCAAAGUUCUUCGUCCGUCGGCGCGUUCCCGCUCCCACCACCGGCUGUGAUUUUGGGGGGCUCGUUCAGUGAUGGGAUGUUCUCGGUGUCACAACUCAACCAGGGCCCAUUAUCACAUUUGUUCUUCUUCCUGUUUUGUCAAACUCAUUUGGCGUCUCUGAGUUUCUGACUUCUGAUUGAAUUCCCUUUACUUUGAUUAAGCUACAAACGGAUACAUUUCAUAAAAAUGGUGUUGACGGAUGCCCAAGAAGCCACACUAGGCAGAUAUUUGCUUUGUCCUGAACCUGGCAUACAAUGUAGAUUCCUGUGUGGUUCAAUUCUACAGCUACAUUGUCUGCUGGGUUUCUGGCUAGCAAUAUAAGCUUCUGUGACAUGAAGGUCACCUUUACUCCAUAAGGUAAGAAUUUAUCUACUGUGCUGCCAAAAAGUAUUUGCCCCUGUUAAGAUUUAUUCUGCUUUUGUUGUUUUGUGAUAUUUAAAUGUUUCAGAUUGUCCAACAAAUGUUACAGUGGCAGUGUUAUGUGUUUUCCAGGCGCAUAAUGACAUAUUAUAGCACAAUCAAGUAACUAUGUUACCUUUAGUUGUUAU